rnacentral:rRNA from 1 species
CACGUAGGGGGCAAGCGUUGUCCGGAUUUAUUGGGCGUAAAGAGCUCGUAGGUGGUUCGGUAAGUCGGGUGUGAAAACUCUGGGCUCAACCCAGAGACGCCACCCGAUACUGCCGUGACUAGAGUCUGGUAGGGGAGUGUGGAAUUCCUAGUGUAGCGGUGAAAUGCGCAGAUAUUAGGAGGAACACCAGUGGCGAAGGCGGCCACCUGGGCUGUACCUGACGCUCCAACACGAAAGCUAGGGGAGCGAACGGG